GAUGAAGAACGUAGCGAAAUGCGAUAAGUAAUGUGAAUUGCAGAAUUCAGUGAAUCAUCGAAUCUUUGAACGCACAUUGCGCCCGCCAGUAUUCUGGCGGGCAUGCCUGUUCGAGCGUCAUUUCAACCCUCAAGCCCAGCUUGGUGUUGGGGAUCGGCACAGGCGCCCUCGGGCGCCAGCCGUCCCCUAAAUCUAGUGGCGGUCCCGCUGCAGCCUCCUCUGCGUAGUAGUUUUCUCCUCGCAAGGGCAGCUCGGUGACGACCUCGCCGUAAAACCCCCAACUUCUGAAAGGUUGACCUCGAAUCAGGUAGGAAUACCCGCUGAACUUAAGCAUAUCAAUAAGCGGAGGA
rnacentral:misc_RNA from 1 species